rnacentral:rRNA from 1 species
GACGAACGCUGGCGGCGUGCUUAACACAUGCAAGUCGAACGGAAAGGCCCUGCUUUUGUGGGGUGCUCGAGUGGCGAACGGGUGAGUAACACGUGAGUAACCUGCCCUUGACUUUGGGAUAACUUCAGGAAACUGGGGCUAAUACCGGAUAGGAGCUCCUGCUGCAUGGUGGGGGUUGGAAAGUUUCGGCGGUUGGGGAUGGACUCGCGGCUUAUCAGCUUGUUGGUGGGGUAGUGGCUUACCAAGGCUUUGACGGGUAGCCUGCCUGAGAGGGUGACCGGCCAAAUGGGGACUGAGAUACGGCCCAGACUCCUACGGGAGGCAGCAGUGGGGAAUAUUGCACAAUGGGCGGAAGCCUGAUGCAGCAACGCCGCGUGCGGGAUGACGGCCUUCGGGUUGUAAACCGCUUUCGCCUGAGACGAAGCGUGAGUGACGGUAAUGGGUAAAGAAGCACCGGCUAACUACGUG